GGGGCUGAUCGGUUUCGACUUGGGACGUUAGUCCCAGGGGAAGCGGGUCGAGGAGCCAGCGUCAUCUCGUAAACGAUCGCUGGAAACCAAUAACUGCCAACGCUAAGCGCAGUUCCUUCGCUCUCGCCGCCUGAGCGGUGAUCGAAGCGUCAGACCGGGCAUCCGUCUCCGUCCCGGACCCUGGCGUCAUCUAGGAGACUUGCUGCUCAACUCCUGUCAGGGGGGUUGAUCGGGACUCAAUCCUGACUGGGCCUGUCGGCGACGCGUCUGCGCGAGCGCCGGGGCCGAGAAAAGCGACAUCGCAGACUGCACCCGGAGAAGACCUGGUUCGACGCUCGAGGACGCGGGUUCGAUUCCCGCCAGCUCCACCA
rfam:Nocardioides sp. Leaf285 contig_3, whole genome shotgun sequence.